rnacentral:rRNA from 1 species
GACGUAGGGCGCGAGCGUUGUCCGGAUUUAUUGGGCGUAAAGAGCUCGUAGGCGGCUUGUCGCGUCGACUGUGAAAACCCGCGGCUCAACUGUGGGCUUGCAGUCGAUACGGGCAGACUAGAGUGUGGUAGGGGAGACUGGAAUUCCUGGUGUAGCGGUGAAAUGCGCAGAUAUCAGGAGGAACACCGAUGGCGAAGGCAGGUCUCUGGGCCACUACUGACGCUGAGAAGCGAAAGCAUGGGGAGCGAACAGG